AUUGAACGCUGGCGGCAGGCUUAACACAUGCAAGUCGACCGAGUGGCGUACGGGUGAGUAAUGCUUGGGAAUCUAGCUUAUGGAGGGGGAUAACUACGGGAAACUGUAGCUAAUACCGCGUACCAUAGGCUGAGCCCAAGUGGGAUUAGGUAGUUGGUUAGGUAACGGCUGACCAAGCAGACGAUCUCUAGCUGGUCUGAUGGGAUGACCAUCCACAAUGGGACUGAGACACGGCCCAGACUCCUAAGGUAGGAAGCAGUGGGGAAUAUUGCGCAAUGGGGGGAACCUGACGCAGCCAUGCCGCGUGAAUGAAGAAGGCCUUCGGGUUGUAAAGUUCUUUCGGUAGCGAGGCGUUAACUACAGAAGAAGCACCGGCUAACUCCGUGCCAGCAGCCGCGGUAAUUC
rnacentral:rRNA from 1 species